GAGGCACUUCCUCAUUUGAGGUUCCUCCUCUCUGAGGACUAGCUGUGUCAGGUUAACACACAAACCCGGCCAGUCCAAGCAGCAAGUGCUCCUCACUCCUGAGCCGUGUGUUUCUGCAGCCCUCACCGUCAGCACCUGCGUCCUUUCCGUUCCCUCUGCUCUGAUGCGGAGCCUCAGAGUUUCAGAGAGCUGAGCCGCGGAGGGCUGAGUCCCUAAAGUCAUUUAUCUCAGUACCCUGAGCAGCCCUGAGUCUGCAUUAGUUGCUGUUUGCUAUAAAAAGAAGCCUCUCUGAUCAACGCUGGGAGCUAUCCGCGUGGCAACCAGGGCGGCCUUCUGAUCAACCUGCUUCUACCACUCCGGCAUGAUAAAUGUACCUUGACGAUGUAGCCCACCCAGGGCCAGCAUCACGGUAUAGCUGUGUAUCAGAACAGCUGAGGACCAAAAGGACAUCUUCAGAGGUCAAAGAAGGCAAUACUGAGGAAGACAGGUGAGCCCUGCCAGCACCAUGACAAGCCAAGGUCAGAGCUGAGACCCAACAGCAUUGUGGAUCCUGGCCACAGCCGCCUGAGCUCUCCUUGCUGUUAAGCCUGUCCUUCCUUGCAGGAGAUAUGUUUAGUCUUCCGCUGAGGAAACUGGCCGGACCUGAUAGUACAGUAGUAGGGAAGGAGUUCUCACCCGCCGCUGCCGCUGUCCUGCCUGCCCUCUGAGUUCCCCAUCAGGAAGCUCGCCCAUCUCUCCUCCUCACUGCUUGCACAGAGACCAGUAAGGGAAAUGUUUUGAUGUUCCAUCUACACCUGCAGCGUAGAGCGAGUGUGGAGCUGCUGUGCACACGGUGUUUACUAACUAAAUGGCAAGAGUCACCCUGCCUGUGAAGGUCAGCUGUAAGUGUCACCCUUUGGGUUACACAGGUGCCUCUCAGGCCCUUUGUCUCCCAAAUGGCUUACUGGCUCCUUGAUAUUAGAAGGCUACAGUUCUAGCAGACAGCUUCCACAAGUCCCCUGGUGUACCUGUCCCUCAUGUUAGACCUACGCAGCCUGCCGUCUACCCUCAAGGCUUCUGCUUCUCCAGGCACCACUUCCCUCAGGUGGCUGCCCAGACUCCUCCUCCCUCCUUUUCUACAACAGCUGGGAUCACCCUGUAAAACGCAAACACGAUUGUGAACCCUUGAAAAACACUUUCCCACCUUGUCUAGUAUUCAGAGCCUGGUGCCUACUUCAAGUUCGUCUCAUCCCUUCCCUCAAGAUGUCUCUCCUGCUAUUUCCCACCGUUGGAAAGCACGUGUGUUCCCACGCCUGGCAGGGUGAUCACCUUGCGUCCCACCUGCACUGAGUCCCUAGCCAAGGCCUGUAGUGUGAGAGCACUCUGCAAGCCUAGCCCGGGCUUGACAAUCAGACCAGGCUCAGACCAGACCUACCUCAGCAGGCCUCUAUGCUUACAGAGCUACCAUGUCACAUCUGACCCUGCACUGAGGGUCACUGUAGACUCAGAGUCCUGACAAAGUCUCAGCGUUCUAAACUAAAUUUCACUAACUGGCUGAAUUUCACUAGCUCCUAACCCAUGCUAUACCAGCCUGAAGUUCUCAUGUACAGGGUGCUCCAUGCUCUCUGUACAGGGAAUAUGCCUACCCAAGGCAGGUGGGGAACUUGUAUGAAAGACAAACAUCUCCAGUGGUAACAGUGUUGUGAAGGAAAUACAGAUGACUUGCUACUGCUUCUGAAGGGAGUCGUGACUAAGGAGGCAGGGAAGUCCUCUCCUGUGGCAAGGACUCUCCCUCCAGGAGCCUGAUUACUUCCAGCUUAGUCCCUGAAGCUCUCAUGGCCAGCACUACAUGUGACCAGGAGCAUCAUCUCCACCAGACUAGCGGUGAUGUCAUCAGUUAAGACCUACACACAGAGGGAAGGCCAGCUCAUGGUACCCAGAGGACCCUGUGGGCUGCUGCUGUGGAGGUUGCUGCGUGCCUGGCAUCAAGCCUGCUGAUGCAUGUGGCGAAGCUGCUGUCAUGUGGAUUUCUCAGAGACUGAGCCUGUUAAGGGCUUGCCUGGGAUCCUGGCUACCUACUCAGCAGUGAG